GACGAACGCUGGCGGCGUGCUUAACACAUGCAAGUCGAACGGAAAGGCCCUGCUUUUGUUGGUUUCUCGAUUGGCGAACGGGUGAGUAACACGUGAGUAACCUGCCCUUGUCUUUGGGAUAACUUCAGGAAACUGGGGCUAAUACCGGAUAGGAUCUCCUGCUGCAUGGUGGGGGUUGGAAAGUUUCGGCGGUUGGGGAUGGACUCGCGGCUUAUCAGCUUGUUGGUGUGGUAGUGGCUUACCAAGGAUUUGACGGGUAGCCGGCCUGAGAGGGUGAACGGGCACAAGGGGACUGCGAGACGGACCAGAAUCCAACGGGAGGCAGUAGUGGAGAAUAUUGCACAAUGGGCGGAAGUGUGAUGUAGCAAUGCCGCGUGCGGGAUGACGGCUUUUGGGUGGUAAACAGCUUUCGACUGUGACGAAGAGUGAGUGACGGUAAUGGGUAAAGAAGCAACGGCUAACUACGUG
rnacentral:rRNA from 1 species